AAUGAACGCUGGCGGCAGGCCUAACCCAUGCAAGUCGAACGAAGCCUUCGGGCUUAGUGGCGGACGGGUGAGUAACGCGUGGGAACAUACCCUUUGGUACGGAAUAGCCUCGGGAAACUGGGAGUAAUACCGUAUGUGCCCUUCGGGGGAAAGAUUUAUCGCCAAAGGAUUGGCCCGCGUUGGAUUAGGUAGUUGGUGGGGUAAUGGCCUACCAAGCCGACGAUCCAUAGCUGGUUUGAGAGGAUGAUCAGCCCCCCUGGGACUGAGACCCGGCCCAGACUCCUACGGGAGGCAGCAGUGGGGAAUCUUAGACAAUGGGCGCAAGCCUGAUCUAGCCAUGCCGCGUGAUCGAUGAAGGCCUUAGGGUUGUAAAGAUCUUUCAGAGGGGAAGAUA
rnacentral:rRNA from 1 species